GCUGGCUGCUCCUUUUCUGGGAAUUUGGCACAGGAAAGAGGCUCCCUCUUGCGACUAAAUGCAAUUGCUACAGGCCCAGGGAACCCGGAGGCGGUGCGUUCCUGGGAGUCUGGACUGGCUGCUCAGCACUGGGCAAAUACUGGCCAGAGCUCUCUUCCUCCGCUGCCCUGAGGGCUGGCACGUGCUGGGGGGGUUGUCAAGCCAAGACCAUGUGGGAGAAAGCAGGUCUGAUGUCUCUUCCCAUCUCAUUUUUAUCGGGCUACAUCCUCCCUCCCACCCCCACUCGCGUGGAUGCAGAAAGGAAACGACUGGCUUCCUUUCCUUGGCUGCAGCCAGCUUCCUUCCUUCGACUCCCGCCGCCCGGGGUUGCGUCAGCGGACCCUUCAGACCGUGCCUUGCAAACCACAGCACAGGACAUAAAAGAGCCGGGCUCAGCGAGACGGAAGCGAAAGCCAAAAGCGGGCUGGCAGGCCGCAUUAUCAGUGUCACAUUGAAAACCGACGCCGGGGCAGCCGCACGCCAAACCCGACAGGAACUGCACGCCCCAGCGCGUCUCCCACCCGGGGCUUCGAGACGCAAACAAGUCUCGGCUCAAGAAGCAUCCAAGUGAGGGCUGACAGCCACAAUGGAGACGUGAAAUUCCUCUGCGCUGCGUGACAGGUGCCUCCGCCAGCCCCGGGUUAAGCACACAGGUGUAGCCCAGCAAGAAACCAUUUGAUUUCUCCUAGUAGCGACUGUUUCCCCUGCCAAGCCAUUGUCUGCGAGGAAGACCGCUCCCCUGGCAUAGGUCAGCCAAGCUGCCUGGAAAAAAGCAGCUUUGUUUCAAGAGAUACCGGAUGCUAGAAAGGCCCUUUUCUACACUCCCCCAGAGCACAAAUUGGUUCCCUCCCCAAGCAGCAUGACGAGGAGACCUGAUGAGAGAGGGGGCCGUUUCUGAAUGAGCCAGGUCAGGCAGAUCCAUUGUAGAACGCCCCUAUUCCUGUGUACGAUACAUUUGCUUCUUCCAGGAGUUAAUAUCCAAGACAAUGGUAACUACGGCAACAAUAAUACUCCUCUUUCCUGUGUGGAAGCUCCAUUCCCAUGGUCUCAACAUCCCUUAAAAACCCCUCAUCCCUGUUGCUUCACAACCCCACAAAUUUACAUUGCCCCCAUUUUACAGAUGGGGGAAACUGAGGCACCAAGCAGUGAAAUGGCUUGCUCAAGGCCUCCUAAGAAUGGGGGGGUGGGAUUAACAUGGAGCCCGAGGGUCUAGAUGUAUCUAGCUGUCGCUGAGAGCUUCAGAGGGGAUGCACCAUACAAAACCUGGGAGGCCUCCUUCUCUCUCCUUCGCACCUUAAGUUGCCAAAACCAGACAGGGGACAAAGAAGCGCAGAAUUAAGCCCAGCAGGGUACACAGCCAUGCCCUGAAAAUAGAGACAUCCCGGUCUGGUAACAGAAGACUGUGCUGAAGCUCCUCAUUAUUAUUAUCAAUCAAGGAGGCUGCCAGGAUCUGCCUGUCUCUGUGCCUGGUUUUGCCCAGGGCUCUGAGCAGGCAGGAGUGGCUCACAUAUCAGCAAGGAUCCUGGUUUUCUCUGAUUUAAAAAAAAAUCCAGUUUUUGGAUUAAUAAAAGUAACCCCAAAUCCA
ensembl:lncRNA